UACGUAGGAGGCGAGCGUUGUCCGGAAUUACUGGGCGUAAAGAGCGCGUAGGCGGCGCUGUACGACCCGUGUGAAAGCCCCCGGCUCAACUGGGCGGGGUCAGCGGAUACGGUGUGGCUCGAGCAAGCUAGGGGGCAAUGGAACUCCCGGUGUAGUGGUGGAAUGCGUAGAUAUCGGGAAGAACACCAGUGGCGAAGGCGGUUGCCUGGAGCUUUGCUGACGCUGAUGCGCGAAAGCGUGGGGAGCGAUCCGG
rnacentral:rRNA from 1 species